ACUAGAAAGGAGGAAUGGAGCAGAAAGAAAAUGACAAUGUUUUAAUAAUUUAACCAACUCUUGAAUGGCCUCUUAUCCUCAGCAUCCAAACAAUAAGAAAGCACAUACAAUCAUAAUGUCUGUGUUUACCCACAGGGAUCCAGCGAUGGGGAGACUGGCCCUGGUACAUGUGAUCCAGCGACACAGUGGGCAGCACACCAUCAGCAGGCCACUCUGGAGCCUGGAUAACGCCUGGAGACACUGCCCACAGAAGGUGUGCUUGCAGUGAAGCAUUCGAGGGGUCUUGUCCCUGCGUGAGUAGGACUGGAGGCAGACGCAGCACUCCAUGUCUUCACUCGUUAGUCCCAUGUCUGGUUGGCUGGGGUGUGGAUGGACACAAGAUGGACAGCUUGAGCGCAGAGGAACUCUGGAUGUAGAAACAGUGUUCUGACAGGAAAAAUGAAACUGGUUGAAUGUCUGUUUUCCUCUUUCAAGGUUUAUAUUGGUGCUGAUAUAGGUUUGUUCUCAAGUGUGGGUCAGAAAUCUACAAGAAAAAA